rnacentral:rRNA from 1 species
UACGUAGGGACCAAGCGUUGUUCGGAUUUACUGGGCGUAAAGGGCGCGUAGGCGGCUUAACAAGUCACUUGUGAAAUCUCCGGGCUUAACUCGGAGGAGUCGGCCGAAACUGGUUUUCUUGAGGGAGGCAGAGGAGUCUGGAAUUCCCGGUGUAGCGGUGAAAUGUGUAGAGAUCGGGAGGAACACCGGUGGCGAAGGCGGGACUCUGGGCCUACCCUGACGCUGAGGCGCGAAGGCGUGGGGAGCAAACGGG